GCGUUAAUCGGAAUUACUGGGCGUAAAGCGUGCGUAGGCGGUUCGUUAUGUCUGCUGUGAAAGCCCCGGGCUCAACCUGGGAAUGGCAGUGGAAACUGGCGGGCUGGAGGGUGGCAGAGGGGGGUGGAAUUCCGCGUGUAGCAGUGAAAUGCGUAGAGAUGCGGAGGAACACCGAUGGCGAAGGCAGCCCCCUGGGCCGACCCUGACGCUCAGGCACGAAAGCGUG
rnacentral:rRNA from 1 species